rnacentral:rRNA from 1 species
AUUCCAGCUCCAAUAGCGUAUAUUAAAGUUGUUGCAGUUAAAAAGCUCGUACUUGAACCUUGGCUCUGGCUGGCCGGUCCGCCUCACCGCGAGUACUGGUCCGGCUGGAGCUUUCCUUCUGGGGAACCUCAUGGCCUUCACUGGCUGUGGGGGGAACCAGGACUUUUACUGUGAAAAAAUUAGAGUGUUCAAAGCAGGCCUUUGCUCGAAUACAUUAGCAUGGAAUAAUAGAAUAGGACGUGCGGUUCUAUUUUGUUGGUUUCUAGGACCGCUGUAAUGAUUAAUAGGGAUAGUCGGGGGCGUCAGUAUUCAGCUGUCAGAGGUGAAAUUCUUGGAUUUGCUGAAGACUAACUACUGCGAAAGCAUUCGCCAAGGAUGUUUUCAUCA